CCCUUAGAUGUUCUGGGCCGCACGCGCGCUACACUGACGAUGGCAACGAGUUUUUCCUUCGCCGAAAGGUGUGGGUAAUCUUUUGAAACAUCGUCGUGCUGGGGAUAGAUCAUUGCAAUUUUUGAUCUUGAACGAGGAAUUCCUAGUAAGCGCGAGUCAUCAGCUCGCGUUGAUUACGUCCCUGCCCUUUGUACACACCGCCCGUCGCUACUACCGAUUGAAUGGUUUAGUGAGGACUCCUGAUUGGCGCCGCCGCCCCGGCAACGGAGCAGCGGACUGCCGAAAAGUUGUUCAAACUUGAUCGUUUAGAGGAAGUAAAAGUCGUAACA
rnacentral:rRNA from 1 species